UCUAACUUUCGAAAAUAACGGAGUGGAUGAAGAGUUCGCUGCUGAAACUAAUGAAAACAAAGAAAACAUUACUCUCAAGAAUUUCAAAGUUUCAACUCUCGAGAAAGAAGAAAAUAUUCCUGAGAAAAAGAAAUGUAAAGCUUCAGUGUUAUCAUCAACCCCUAGAAAUGCUAAUCCAAGUGAUGUUGUGGAGUCUACUGUUCUAACUUCAACUCCUAGGAGAACGAGAACUAACCAGAAUGUCAAAUAUGCCAAGGGAAGAAAGAAGAGUUUAAGUUUUCAUGAUCUAGUAGAAGAAAUAAACAUAGACGAAACUAAUUCUUGCACAAUUUGUUAUGUUCAACUCUCUCCUGUCGACGUUGAACACUCCAUUAGUGCUUACACUAGAACCAAGAGCGGAGCUGGUUCUUCAAGUUCUGUCCCUAGAUCUCCAGGGAACAAUGCUUCCAGAA